UACUGACCAGGAAUUACAAAAACGGCCACACGCCCCUGGAUUUUCUCCUCUGGAGUUCCUAGCCAUCUUCCUCCAUCCUAGACUUCCUACCCGCGGGGAGGGGGGGGGUCCUUACCUUGCUGCCUGGUAGACACUGAUUUUCUGUUUUGGGUAGACCAAAGUAAAGAUGAAAGACUACAAAAAGCUAAACGAGGAAAACUAUGUCAACUGAAGAUCGUUAGCUUUGCUAAGAUUCGGAGGUGGAAGCUGUCAGGUCCAAAGAAAAGUCCCAACUCCAGAAAGCCGCCCAGAUAUCCAGAAAUGGACUCAACCUGGACUUACUUACAGGAGGGUUUCUGGUAGUUAGAUAAAAGCCUUCAUUCAUUCUUCAGGAAGUUGGGAACCCAGGGUCCCUCUGCCAAAAGAAGUCUUUUCCCUUACCUCGGGCAGAAGGGACGUCUGACUACUUGUGGUGCCUAUUAGCAUAUCAAAGCACAUGCUGGCGACCAGGCUUCCUCAGGCGCAAGUACCUGUUACACGCCUCCCCCCCCCCCCAGCCUUCUCACCUCCUCCCCAACCCUAAACUCCCUCCAGCUCAAAGUCCCCUCAGCUCAUUCUCCUUACACCGGCACUGUUUGAGGUGCUCUCUGUGUCUCCUCUCCUUCUCCUACACCCACCCACCCAACUUGCUCCUGGCCAGGUGCAAGCUGUUAGCCGUGUUCAGCUUGCUUUCUCUCUCUGCUGUGAGACGGCCUUCUAACAGCCCCUGCUCUUGUUCUUCCAGACCCCACGAAACCUUGCCUUCUCUAUAUACGGAUGAGAGGUCAGGAGUGGCCGCUGGAGUUCUAGCCCAACAGGCUGGGCCUUCGAUUCAGGGUGUUGUGUUUUUAUUCAAACAGCUGGACCUCAUCAUCUGUGGGCGGCAGCCAUGCCCGAGAGCCCUGGCAGCAGCAGCUGAACUCACUUGGGAGGCUCUCAAGAUCACCUUGCCUAGGCCAAUCCUGGGUCAUGGAGCUUGUGUCUGAAGCUCUCAACAUCUCAUGGAAAUUCCACAAUCCCUAUCAUCUACAAUCCUUGGGAAAGGUGGAGAGGGCCAAUCGACUCAUCAAACAACAGCUAAUCAAGCUCUCUACUGAACUCAGUCACUGCCUAGUCAUCUCCCUCAAGAAACAGAUGCCUGGUGUCUGUGGGAUGACAGAAAACAGGAUGCCUCUCCAGCCACACCUUUCUCUGAGCGUGAACCCACCAACACCCAGCUCUCUCUUCUCCAAGGUUGCUCCAUGCCUGCAGGAUGUAGCCAGACUUGACUUGAUGCCCCCUUUUCCAAAGAGAGCCUAAAAUGUUGGUCAUAAGUAUCACCUCAGCUUCCUGUCACUUCUUAUACAAACAGUCUGGAAUGUAAUCCCAGUCCAUCAAACCUUGACCCCUCCCCAGGGAAGGUCAAGACCACAGGCUCCUUAAACUGGUCCCUAGA